rnacentral:piRNA from 1 species
AGGCAGGUCCCUUAUGAUGAAAUCUCUGC